rnacentral:rRNA from 1 species
CAGCAGCCGCGGUAAUACGAAGGGUGCAAGCGUUAAUCGGAAUUACUGGGCGUAAAGCGUGCGUAGGCGGUUUGUUAAGACAGAUGUGAAAUCCCCGGGCUCAACCUGGGAACUGCACUUGUGACUGGCAAGCUAGAGUGUGGCAGAGGGGGGUGGAAUUCCGCGUGUAGCAGUGAAAUGCGUAGAUAUGCGGAGGAACACCGAUGGCGAAGGCAGCCCCCUGGGCCAACACUGACGCUCAUGCACGAAAGCGUGGGGAGCAAACAGGAUUAGAUACCCCCGUAGUCCCUGUCUCUUAUAC